rnacentral:rRNA from 1 species
UGGUAAUGCCGGAUGUUCCACAUGAUCGCAUGUGAUUGUGGGAAAGAUUCUAUCGGCGUGGGAUGGGGUCGCGUCCUAUCAGCUUGUUGGUGAGGUAACGGCUCACCAAGGCUUCGACGGGUAGCCGGCCUGAGAGGGCGACCGGCCACAUUGGGACUGAGAUACGGCCCAGACUCCUACGGGAGGCAGCAGUGGGGAAUAUUGCACAAUGGGCGCAAGCCUGAUGCAGCGACGCCGCGUGAGGGAUGGAGGCCUUCGGGUUGUAAACCUCUUUUGUUUGGGAGCAAGCCUUCGGGUGAGUGUACCUUUCGAAUAAGCGCCGGCUAACUACGUGCCAGCAGCCGCGGUAAUACGUAGGGCGCAAGCGUUAUCCGGAUUUAUUGGGCGUAAAGGGCUCGUAGGCGGCUCGUCGCGUCCGGUGUGAAAGUCCAUCGCUUAACGGUGGAUCUGCGCCGGGUACGGGCGGGCUGGAGUGCGGUAGGGGAGACUGGAAUUCCCGGUGUAACGGUGGAAUGUGUAGAUAUCGGAAA